rnacentral:lncRNA from 1 species
GCUGAAUCAUGGGGGCAGUUUCCCCCGUACUGUCCUCGUGAUAGCGAAUAAGUCUCAGGAGAUCUGAUGGUUUUAUAAACGAGAGUUCCCCUGCAGAAGCUCUCUGGUCUGCCACAUGUAAGACAUGACUUUGUUCUUCCUUCAUCUUCCACCAUGAUCGUGAGGCCUCUCCAGCCAUGUGGAACUGUGAGUCUGUUAAACCUCCUUUUCUUUAUAAAUUACCCAGUCUCAGGUAAGUCUUUAUUAGCAGUGUGAGAACAGACUAAUACAAUAUUCAUCCUAUUGUUUCUUUUUCUCUGGAGAACCCUAUUACACCAGAUUUUUGUUUGUUGUUGUUGUUAGAAGUUAGGAAUACAGCAAUGGACAAGAUGGCCAAGUCCCAAGCACUGCCGGAGUAGCUGAUGGAACCUCCUCUGUGUAGGACAUUGUCAGUCUUGUGUCAGAUGGAAAAGGACUUCACAACUGUAAGCUGGCUCCUAAAGCAUCUGCUCAGAAGUGACACAGAUAAGUUUUGUCUACAUUUUGUUGGCCAAAGCAAGUCACAUGGAUUCAACAGUUUGAUCAUAUAUAAUUCUCCCUCAGGGUAGGGCCCACAAGCCAUAUAGCCAAGCUUG